rnacentral:lncRNA from 1 species
AGGAAUAAAUCCCGUGUAAUUGAUGAUUUCCCAUCCUAUGUACAUGGGUCAACUCCUAAUUGUAAGCAAUAUUAGUAUAGAUUCAUUUCCUUCCUAGAAUAGGUAUCUGUAUAGUCCUCAUAAUGCUGUAAAAUUUUGUAAAUCAUUCAUUUAGUGAUAUACAAUUCUUCCUAUUAUACCAAAUUUAAUAUGGUAUCAGAGCAAAGGAAACCCAAGCUCUUAGUUUACCACAGCCAAUUUUCUUCUAGACAUUCCCUUUUCUUGGCUCUUUUUUUUAUUUUUUUUAUUUACUAGCAGUGAAGCUUGCAAGGGUUUUUACAAGGGAUUUACUAGCAGUGACGCUACUCUUGCUUUAUCAAAUUCCAUUGAAAAUUCUAGCCCUUUUUAUAUCCAUCAUUCUGACAACCCAAAUAAUCCUUUAGUUUCACAACUUUUGAACGGAGAUAAUUAUGCUACAUGGAGUAGGGCUGCUGAACUUUAACAAAUUGGGAUUCAUUGAUGGUACUCUGGA